ACGAGCGUUCUUGAUCACAUAUUUCGCCAGAAUAUAGAAAGAAGACCCGGUGCUCCGCGUGGCCCCAGCAUAAGACCGCGGCCUGUCGUCAGGAGCGCGUGAAGGACGAGCUCGCGGAGGCUCGUAAAUCUAGCAGGCCGACAGAUCCCAGAGGACAGAGGACGUUCCGUUAGUGCGACUGGGAAAACCCUUGACUAGAGACGCUCUAGGACCCGGAACCGCGGAGGAUUUCUCGCCACAGGAACGAACGCUGUGCGAGAGAGGUGACAGACGCGGCGGGCGAGUACGUUUCCGAGCGAGGGACGGUGUGACGAGCGAAAGGAUCCGACCUGCCAAGCGGGGACCCGUAAGAAGAGUCCAUAAGACACACGAUGUCCACACUACCUGUCAUGCAGGCAAAGCUGGUGAGAGAUCCAGCGCCACACCGUCGAACGACAGGAAUUGCCGUCUCGGUUUUAUCCCAUGGCGUCACGCGCAUUUUAUUUUUUGUAACUUGCUUCCAGUUUGAAAGUGAUGCUUCCCCACACACCUUCCAGCGAGAACGGUCAACGUUUGCUGAAAUUUUCUGACACGAUCUAUGUCACGUGCAGGUACUCCUCGGCGACAUGGGUGCUGGCAAGUCUUCCUUGGUGCUUCGAUUCGUGAAAGGUCAGUUCUUCGAGUACCAGGAGUCCACCAUCGGCGCAGCGUUCCUCACGCAGACGGUGUCUGUGAGCGACGCAACGGUGAAAUUCGAAAUAUGGGAUACGGCAGG
rnacentral:lncRNA from 1 species